ensembl:lncRNA
UGGUAAAGAAUCUGCCUGCCAAUGCAGGAUACACAAGAAACUAGGGUUUGAUCCCUGGCUUGGAAAAUCCUGUCAAGAAGGAAAUGGCAACCCACCCAGUCUUCUUGCCUGGGAAAUCCCGUGGACAGAGGAGCCUGGCCGGCUACAGUCCAUGGAGUUGCAAGUUAGACACGACUUAGUGACUAAGCAAGUCCGAUUUACUUUUUCUUGGAUUGCUUGUACAUUUGGUGUUGUAUCUAUGAGAUCAUUGCCAAACGCCAAGGUAUAAAGAUGAACACAUUUUUAUCUAAAAGUUCUUUAGUUUCAGUUCUUACAUUUAGGCAGGGAGACAUGUGCAUUUGAACUGGACUCAGAGUCUGGAUGUAAAAAAUUCAUCUGUUGUCAUGACUGUACUCCUAUCCUAAACUGUGCCUGAUUUUCCCUGAACAAUGUCUGUUUUACUGUAGUAGAGAACAAAUUUCCCCUCUUCUGCCAGCCAAUGCAGAAGGUAUUGCUUCUGCCAGGAGAGGUAGAGGCAUCUAGCUGCUAGAUUAGGGGGUAGAAUUUAGGCACUAACAGCUCCUGGGACAAACUUUCAGUGACUGCUCCUCUCUGUAGCUUCGCCUCCACGUCAGAGGCUGAGGUCAGAGGCUUCAGGUGCCACUGAUACUUAAACGAGACUAUCAAGUAUUAACAGAUGUGGGAUCAGUUGGGCUGUUCCUGAGCUUUCUUUACCACUGCUUUGGGAUCCAGCAUGCAAAAGUUUGAGAACUGUGGUGUUGGAAAAGACUCUUAAGAGUCCCUUGGACUGCAAGGAGAUCUAACCAGUCCAUCCUAAAGGAAACCAGUCCUGAAUAUUCAUUGGAAGGACUGAUGCUAAAGCUGAAACUCCAAUAUUUUGGCCAUCUGAUGCAAAGAACUGGCUCAUUGAAAAAGACUCUGAUGCUGGGAGAGAUUGAAGGCGGGAGGAGAAGGGGAUGACAGGGGAUGAGAUAGCUGGAUGGCAUCAUCAACUCAAUGGACAUGAGUUUGAGUAAGCUUCGGGAGUUGGUAAUGGACAGGGAGGCCUGGCGUGCUGCAAUUCAUGGGGUUACAAAGAGUCAGACCCAACUGUGUGACUGAAGUGAACUGAAACAUUGUUUUCCCACAGUAUCAUGUAUGAAAUGUCUGAUACAAUAAAAUUGUUUGUAAAUAUAUGAUAUAAAAUAGAGUCAGGAAAAUUACUUGAGAAAUGGAGUGGAAAUGUAGGGAAAUACUAGAUAAGGUAUGUUAGUGAAAGAGAAGAGUGCCUUUCUUGGCAUUGAUGUGAAC